ACUGUGUUCCUUUGAAUUGGCUACCACAAACAUUAGCAAUGUCAGAACACUCUGUAGAGGAAUUAUUGGUUACUCUCAGGACAAAAAUCUGCAAGAGAAAAGAUGAACGUGAUUGUUAUUGUCUUUCCACUCACCAGAUGUGAAAAAAACUCCACCAGAUGGAAGAAAUUAACUCUUUGAUGACUAUGAGUACACAGCCCACAGACCUACUGAAGACUGAGGACGGAUAAAGUUAACCCCUGUCACAGGACCCUGUUACCACAUCAUCAGUCAGCCAGAGAACUGGGCACAAGCUGAUCAUAUACCCUGCCACUUCCCUCCUUCACCUUCUGUUUAUUUUUUUAAUUUUGGCUGCACUGGGUCUAUUGUGGUACUUGGGCUUUCUCUGCCGGUGGUGGAUGGGGGCUUCUCGACACCUUGUGUUUAGAAAUGCUUUGCUGAAACCCACCUGGGAGUUCAGGUGCUUUGAGCACUAGCUAAUCUGGACUCCUUGAGGUAAAUGCUGCACUUUCCUUCACCACAACCAGUAGACUGGCUUUACUGUGUGCAGCUGAGCCAAUCCAAGUAUGGUUCACUAACAGAUCCACAUCAGUUUGUUUCUGCAAAAGAUCUCAGUCUGCUCCAGAGGGCUCUAUUGGGCAAGAUCUGGUACAGUCCAAGCCAUCAGUCCCUGAGAAUGCACAUCUUUGCCCCACAAAACUCUGGGAAUCUGGAUGAUCCUGUAGGAGCAGUCUUUCCCUGCCUCCCUUCCCAAGUAGUCAAUGCCUUCUCUUACUGUCUGGAUGUCCCAGGUGGAACUCAGGCCCGUGUCCAGAGCCACAUUAAGCUUCCUCAUAUGUGUAUCAGGCACGGGUACUCUAUGUCUCCCAACUUAGAGAACACAGUUUUCCGAGUGGUUGUCUCUAAGCUUGUGAUGAAAAGUUUACACCUCCCACUC
ensembl:lncRNA